GUCCGGCUUAAAAAGCUAACAUAAAGCCUGAACAGCUUUUAGUCUGAGAAAGAGAGAGUUAGUUUUAGCUGGCAAAAAGCAGGUUAUCACAACAGGAUUAUAUCAAAGGAAAGGAAUGAG